GAUGAACGCUGGCGGCGUGCCUAAUACAUGCAAGUCGAGCGAACGGACGAGAAGCUUGCUUCUCUGAUGUUAGCGGCGGACGGGUGAGUAACACGUGGAUAACCUACCUAUAAGACUGGGAUAACUUCGGGAAACCGGAGCUAAUACCGGAUAAUAUUUUGAACCGCAUGGUUCAAAAGUGAAAGACGGUCUUGCUGCCACUUAUUGAUGGAUCCGCGCUGCAUUAGCUAGUUGGUAAGGUAACGGCUUACCAAGGCAACGAUGCAUAGCCGACCUGAGAGGGUGAUCGGCCACACUGGAACUGAGACACGGUCCAGACUCCUACGGGAGGCAGCAGUAGGGAAUCUUCCGCAAUGGGCGAAAGCCUGACGGAGCAACGCCGCGUGAGUGAUGAAGGUCUUCGGAUCGUAAAACUCUGUUAUUAGGGAAGAACAUAUGUGUAAGUAACUGUGCACAUCUUGACGGUACCUAAUCAGAAAGCCACGGCUAACUACGUG
rnacentral:rRNA from 1 species